rnacentral:rRNA from 1 species
ACCUCUGGUGUACCAGUUGUUCUGCCAAGGGCAUGGCUGGGUAGCUAUGUACGGAAUGGAUCAGCGCUGAGAGAAUCCACGUGCGAAGCCACCUUCAAGAUAAGAUUUUCGACCGUACGGGUAAGUCACCAGAUAGGCUAUCUGAUUGAUAGGUCGAAGGUGUAAGUGCAGCAAUGUAUUUAGUUUAUCGAUACUAAUAGGUCGAGGACUUGACCAA